rnacentral:rRNA from 1 species
UGGGGAUGACGUCAAAUCAUCAUGCCCCUUAUGUCUAGGGCUACACACGUGCUACAAUGGUGAGGACAAAGAGACGCAAGACCGCGAGGUGGAGCAAAUCUCACAAACCUCAUCCCAGUUCGGAUUGCAGGCUGAAACUCGCCUGCAUGAAGCCGGAGUUGCUAGUAAUCGCGAAUCAGCAUGUCCGCGGUUCCGAAUACGUUCCCGGGCCUU